UAGCCUACCAACACUAUACCUAACUUAGUACAAUAAAUCAUUUAUUUAUGCUAGUAUUGGCGACAGAAAACUUUUUAGCGCAAUAAACAAAGUACUGCAAAGGAAAAAUGAAAUAAAAAUGAAAUAAACUAUAAAAAUAUAAUAAAGCAAAGAUAAAAGCCUGUACCUUUUGCAUAAUGGUCUAGCAAGUCCAACUCAACAAAAAGAAUUUUAGUUGAUAGUCCCGAAACCGAGCGAGCUACCCUAAAGCAGCAAUAAAGAGCGAACCCGUCCCUGUGGCAAAAGGGUGGGAAGACUUUAAGGUAGUGGCGAUAAACCUAACGAGCCCGGACAUAGCUGGUUACUUGAGAAUGAAUUUAAGUUCAACUAAAAGCAUUAAAAACACUAAAAGUAUAAAUACCGCUUUUAUUUUAACCAACUGAGGUACACCCCAAUUGGUAAAGGAAACAGCCUAAAUUAAUGAAUAAUGAUUAUAAUAAAUAGGAAACAAGACUAGUAGGCCUAAAAGCAGCCACCUAAUAUAGCGUCAAAGCUUUACUUAUAGACCCCCUAAUAUUUUAAUAAAAAAUCUAAACUCAUAAAAAAAAUCAAGUCAAUCUAUAUUAUAGAUAAAUUACUACUAGAAUUAGUAACAAGAAAAAAAUUCUAAAAUACACGUGUAAAUCAGAACGAAUCAGCCACUGAUAAUUAACUAUAAGCCAUAUAAACAAGAAAUAUAAGAUUAAAAGAUAGUUAACCCAACACAGGAGUAUUACAAAUGAUUUAAUGUCUGAAAAGGAACUCGGCAAGCUAGAGAUUCGCCUGUUUACCAAAAACAUCGCCUUUUGAAAUACAAAUAUAAGAGGUACUGCCUGCCCAGUGACACUUGUUCAACGGCCGCGGUAUUAUGACCGUGCAAAGGUAGCGUAAUCACUUGUCUUUUAAAUAAAGACCGGUAUGAAUGGCAAAACGAAAACUCAACUGUCUCCUCAGACAAGUCAGUGAAAUUGAUUUCCCCGUGAAGAAGCAGGGAUAAUAAUAUAAGACGAGAAGACCCUAUGGAGCUUUAAACCAAAACUACCCACCCUCUUAAAAUUUUAAAAAGUGGAGUUAGCCAUAGGUUUUGGGUUGGGGCGACCACGGAGUAAAAAUUAACCUCCGAGAAAUAAUUAAGAAGAACAUUUCAAAAAAUAAUAAUGUUAUAUAUUGACCCAAUAAUUGAUCAACGAACCAAGUUACCCUAGGGAUAACAGCGCAAUCCUCUCAAAGAGUCCCUAUCGACGAGAGGGUUUACGACCUCGAUGUUGGAUCAGGACCCCCAAAUGGUGCAAAAGCUGUUAAAGGUUCGUUUGUUCAACGAUUAAUGUCCUACGUGAUCUGAGUUCAGACCGGAGUAAUCCAGGUCAGUUUCUAUCUAUAAAUAAUUUUUUCUAGUACGAAAGGACCGAAAAAAUAAGGCCUAUAAGAAACUUAAGCCUUUAAAAAACUUCUGACCAUAAUAAAGAAGAUAAUACAACAAGAGUCUAACGACUUA
rnacentral:rRNA from 1 species